rnacentral:hammerhead_ribozyme from 1 species
AUUCAACUGAGAAGUCUCAAACAGGACGAAAAGUACUUUUUGAAU